rnacentral:rRNA from 1 species
AGAGUUUGAUCAUGGCUCAGAACGAACGCUGGCGGCGUGGAUUAGGCAUGCAAGUCGAACGUGAAAGUGCCAAAGGGGUAACCCGGAGGCGCGAGUAAAGUGGCGAACGGGAGAGUAACGCGUGGGAAACCUGCCCUGGAGUGGGGGAUAACAGUCCUAACGGGCUGCUAAUACCGCAUGAUGCAACAGAUCGCAUGUCUUCGUAGUUAAAGGAGGCCUCUGUUGAAUGCUUCCGCUUAAGAAUGGUCCCGCGACCUAUGAGCUUGUUGGUGGGGUAACGGCCUACCAAGGCAGCGAUGGGUAGCCGGCUUGAGAGAGUGGUCGGCCACACUGGGACUGAGAUACGGCCCAGACUCCUACGGGAGGCAGCAGUCGAGAGGCUUCGGCAAUGGGGGAAACCCUGACCGAGCGACGCCGCGUGGGUGAUGAAGGUCUUUGGAUCGUAAAACCCUGUCAGGUGGGAUGAAACCCUAUUGGUUAAUACCCGGGUAGUUUGACAGUACCACCAGAGGAAGCUCCGGCUAACUCCGUGCCAGCAGCCGCGGUAACACGGGGGGAGCAAGCGUUGUUCGGAUUCAUUGGGCGUAAAGAGCUCGUAGGCGGCUCCGUAAGUCAAGGGUGAAAGACCACGGCUCAACCGUGGAAACGCCUUUGAAACUACGGAGCUUGAGGCCGGGAGAGGAAAGUGGAAUUCCUGGAGUAGCGGUGAAAUGCGUAGAUAUCAGGAGGAACACCAGUGGCGAAGGCGACUUUCUGGACCGGUUCUGACGCUGAGGAGCGAAAGCCAGGGGAGCGAACAGGAUUAGAUACCCUGGUAGUCCUGGCCGUAAACGAUGGGCACUAGGUGUGGGGGGAUCGACCCCUUCCGUGCCGCAGUUAACGCAUUAAGUGCCCCGCCUGGGAAGUACGAUCGCAAGAUUAAAACUCAAAGGAAUUGACGGGGGCCCGCACAAGCGGUGGAGCAUGUGGUUCAAUUCGACGCAACGCGAAGAACCUUACCUGGGCUAGACAACAGCGGACAACCCUAGAAAUAGGGUCUUUUCCCUUCGGGGACCGCUGGUUCAGGUGCUGCAUGGCUGUCGUCAGCUCGUGCCGUGAGGUGUUGGGUUAAGUCCCGCAACGAGCGCAACCCUCGUACUUAGUUGCCACCAUUCAGUUGGGCACUCUAGGUAGACUGCCGGCGUUAAGCCGGAGGAAGGUGGGGACGACGUCAAGUCAUCAUGGCCCUUAUGUCCAGGGCCACACACGUGCUACAAUGGACGGUACAAAGGGUCGCGAACCCGCGAGGGGGAGCCAAUCCCAAAAAGCCGUUCUCAGUUCGGAUUGGAGUCUGCAACUCGACUCCAUGAAGUUGGAAUCGCUAGUAAUCGCGGAUCAGCAUGCCGCGGUGAAUACGUUCCCGGGCCUUGUA